GUGAAUCUCUCGGUUUGGUGGGUCCGGUCGCGGAAGUGGUGGAGGAGGUCAUGUAGAGCGGCGUCAUAUUGGUUGUUGGAAGCUGAGUUUGAUCAGGAAUGGGAGAGCGGCGUGCUGUCGGCGGCGGCGAAGGUUAUGAGGGCGGCGAAGGACAGGAAUGGAAGAGCGGCGUGCUGUCGGCGGCGGCGAAGGUUAUGAGGACGGCGAAGGAAAGGAAACAGUGGAUCCAGAAGGAUUCAAACGACAUUAUUUUAUAAAAGAAUUAGUAAUCAGGGGAUCUUUAUUUUGUUAAUGUGAUU
rnacentral:lncRNA from 1 species